GAAGCAGACAGGCAGGGAGGCAGAGAGUGUCCAGCACCAGAGCUCUUUGCAGACCCUCUGCCCAGCCAGCCCAGCCCAGCCUUAGUAAUGGAGCAUACAAUGGAACAAGAGGAGGAAAAGCAUGACUGUGCUAAGGAGACUAAAGGAAAGAAAAAUAUGGAUCAGCAUAUAUGAAGGAACCACCGACUCCAUUCUGUGAAACUGAAGAGGAUACUAGUAUUUAAAUGAAAGGCACUUCUCAUAAUUAUGUCAGAAAGGACAAUGCAAAUCUCAAAUGCUUGCAACCUCUUGCAAAGAUGUGUCCUAUCAAAGCUCCCACUGCCAGUUUUCCCCCGUUUCUCAAAAAGAAGCAUCUUGAUGUACACCUAUUAGCUAUCAAGAAAUUUUGCCACUAUAAGCUGUUAGCCAUUUUUUCCUCCAUAAAAGAGAAAAACAAAGAUUGUUA